CCUACGGGAGGCUGCAGUGGGGAAUAUUGGACAAUGGGGGGAACCCUGAUCCAGCCAUGCCGCGUGUGUGAAGAAGGCCCUCGGGUUGUAAAGCACUUUCAGUGAGGAAGAACGCCUGGUGGUUAAUACCCAUCAGGAAAGACAUCACUCACAGAAGAAGCACCGGCUAACUCCGUGCCAGCAGCCGCGGUAAUACGGAGGGUGCGAGCGUUAAUCGGAAUUACUGGGCGUAAAGCGCGCGUAGGUGGCUUGAUAAGCCGGUUGUGAAAGCCCCGGGCUCAACCUGGGAACGGCAUCCGGAACUGUGAAGCUAGAGGGCAGGAGAGGAAGGUAGAAUUCCCGGUGUAGCGGUGAAAUGCGUAGAGAUCGGGAGGAAUACCAGUGGCGAAGGCGGCCUUCUGGACUGACACUGACACGGCGGUGCGAAAGCGUGGGUAGCAAACAGGAUUAGAGACCCGGGUAGUC
rnacentral:rRNA from 1 species